rnacentral:rRNA from 1 species
GACGGAGGGUGCAAGCGUUGUUCGGAAUUACUGGGCGUAAAGCGCGUGCAGGUGGCCUUUUAAGUCCUUUGUGAAAUUCCGGAGCUCAACUCCGGAUGUGCAUAGGAUACUGGAAGGCUAGAGACUGGUAGAGGCGAGCGGAAUUCCUGGUGUAGCGGUGGAAUGCGUAGAUAUCAGGAAGAACACCGGUGGCGAAGGCGGCUCGCUGGGCCAGUUCUGACACUCAUACGCGAAAGCGUGGGGAGCAAACAGG